rnacentral:rRNA from 1 species
UACGUAGGCAGCAAGCGUUGUUCGGAAUUACUGGGCGUAAAGAGUGUGUAGGCGGUGCUCUAAGUCUGUUGUGAAAUCUCCCGGCUUAACUGGGAGGGUGCGGUGGAAACUGGGGUGCUUGAGUGUGGGAGAGGUAAGCGGAAUUCCUGGUGUAGCGGUGAAAUGCGUAGAUAUCAGGAGGAACACCGGUGGCGAAGGCGGCUACCUGGACAGAAACUGACGCUGAGGCGCGAAGGCCAGGGAGCAAACGGG